rnacentral:rRNA from 1 species
UACGGAGGGUGCAAGCGUUAUCCGGAAUCACUGGGGAUAAAGGGUGCGUAGGUGGCCCUGUAAGUCAGUGGUGAAAUAUCUCAGCUUAACUGAGAGGGUGCCAUUGAUACUGCAGGGCUUGAGUACAGAUGAGGUAGGCGGAAUUGGCGGUGUAGCGGUGAAAUGCAUAGAUAUCGUCAAGAACACCGAUAGCGAAGGCAGCUUACCAAGCUGUAACUGACACUGAGGCACGAAAGUGUGGGGAUCAAACAGG